UGACUNGAGUGCAGAAGGGGAGAGUGGAAUUCCAUGUGUAGCGGUGAAAUGCGUAGAUAUAUGGAGGAACACCAGUGGCGAAAGCGGCUCUCUGGUCUGUCACCGACGCUGAGGCUCGAAAGCGUGGGUAGCGAACAGGAUUAGAUACCCUGGUAGUCCACGCCGUAAACGAUGAGUGCUAGGUGUUAGGCCCUUUCCGGGGCUUAGUGCCGGAGCUAACGCAAUAAGCACUCCGCCUGGGGAGUACGACCGCAAGGUUGAAACUCAAAGGAAUUGACGGGGGCCCGCACAAGCGGUGGAGCAUGUGGUUUAAUUCGAAGCAACGCGAAGAACCUUACCAGGUCUUGACAUCCCGAUGCUAUUCUUAGAGAUAGGAAGUUACUUCGGUACAUCGGAGACAGGUGGUGCAUGGUUGUCGUCAGCUCGUGUCGUGAGAUGUUGGGUUAAGUCCCGCAACGAGCGCAACCCUUAUUGUUAGUUGCCAUCAUUAAGUUGGGCACUCUAGCGAGACUGCCGGUAAUAAACCGGAGGAAGGUGGGGAUGACGUCAAAUCAUCAUGCCCCUUAUGACCUGGGCUACACACGUGCUACAAUGGUCGGUACAACGAGUUGCGAGCCGGUGACGGCAAGCUAAUCUCUGAAAGCCGAUCUCAGUUCGGAUUGGAGGCUGCAACUCGCCUCCAUGAAGUCGGAAUCGCUAGUAAUCGCGGAUCAGCACGCCGCGGUGAAUACGUUCCCGGGCCUUGUACACACCGCCCGUCACACCACGAGAGUUUGUAACACCCGAAGUCGGUGAGGUAACCUUUUAGGGNCCAGCCGC
rnacentral:rRNA from 1 species